ACAUAUACCAGUCGCCGUGUUAGGCGGAACUUGCCACGACGUCACCUACACGUUCUGCUGCAUGACGUGUAGAUCAGUAGGGUAACACAGGCGUCGCCAGUUGGUGCGGAUCAGCGUGUAAACCAUGGUUUCAACUCACAAUAAACGGGCCUACAAAAAGGCCCUCGAAAUGAAAAAGGCAGAGGCAUCCUCCCGCCUUAGACACUGUGCGAGAAAGGUGGCGCUAUUUUUCUCACUCCUCAAGAAGGUCAUAUUUGAGAAACUUCCUUUAUCGUCUGCGUUGCUUCUGUUCAAGGCGAACGACAUGGAGUCGGACCUUCAGAAUGUCCAGAAGUCAAAGAAGAAGCGAUGAAUGUUCAAAGGAAGUGAUCCACACAUGGGCCUUACUGGCUUGAAGGCCCAUGUUCACUUGAAGGCCCAUGUACUACCUUCUACGGGUGCACCGUAGGAUGUUCAUCAACUGAUUUCAUGAACAUAGGAAUCACAGAAUGAAUGAAAUAUCAUCAGCACCAUAUAUUUCAAGUUUGGUUGAUUCCAGAUACACUGUUGAGGCGGGAUCUGCAUCAGGAUGUGAAUGUUUCUGUUUCCUCGGAUAAUCGAUACUGACUCUGGCGUUAUCAUUACAUAUUUGAUUAUUUUUCGUGUUCGUGUUCAAGGCAAACAAGAUGCACAGUAAGAGCAAUAAUCUUGUAAAAGACUAGAACAAAAUCCACACAGACAGGAUAUUCAUUAACAGGAAAUGGAGCCUUAACUGUGAACCUGUGACUUUUUUACUGUAAAUAACAGAAAUUACAUGUGGACAUUAAGAAGAACACUUGCCUGAAAUGUUGAUUCCAGGGAAUAUGUUCAGCUUCCGGCGAGUAAAUAUGAAUUCAUGUACAUGUAUCGUAUUUUGAUAAUGUAGUCAAACCGAAUAUGCGUUUAUUUGUGUAAGUAACUGUUGUCAAUCGUUGUCAAGUAGUAAAAUGGUUCUGUAGUGGCUUCUAAUGAAGUAUGUAAUUUGUUCGGUAGCCUCCUCCAUAGGAAAUAUCAAUAACAAGAAGAUAGAAGAAUGCAAUCGUUUCCAUGGUAGCAAAAAAUAAAUACUUAUGACAGUCAAUUAUUCGAUGAUUGUAAACAAUUAAAAUAUUGAUUUAGUUAACAAUAAUUGUGGUUGUGAUGCGAAUAUGAUUUGAAUGUAAAUAAUAUAUAAAGGUAAACACUACCAGAAGCGAAAGUCAUCACAAAAUUCAGUAUGCUUAACGGAGCAUUGGCUUCAUGUUUCAUUACAGUAGUGGCGAAACGUUUGUCAGCGUAGCCGAAAAAAUGUGUUUUAUUCCGAUGAUGUGGACAAGAGAAGACAUUGUGGUAGCAUUCCUCCCCACCACACCCCUGUCACCCCCAUGGAUAUUGCUGAAAUUGGUUAAAUACCACCUAUUUUCAUAGUUCCAAUGUUCAUCCUAACGUGUCGGGAAAAGAAAGUAUGCACAGUGUUUGAUAUGAUACAAACAAUAAAUCGCCAUUUAAUGAUGUGGUGUUUGAUAGGGUUAUUUUAGGGGUGUUUGGACCUUAUGAUUGCAGUGUUUCGGCAACUGUCUUAAACUUGGUUGAGUUUGGACAAGAUUUGUAAUUUCGAUCAAGUCCAAUUUUCAUGUGAAUACUUUCAAUUUCACAGCCUGGUUCCCGGGGUUUGCUGCGCUAACGCUCCGACACUGUGACCACGGGAACCAGGCUGUCAUUUUCCCAGCUGUAGGUACGUAAACACAGUUACAUAUAGACAGAGCUGAGUCUUAUGAUAAACACUGGUUGAAGCAUACAGGACACCUGAUACACAGAUAGUAAUGAUUGAAAUGUGCUGUUAUUUAAAUGCAUGAGAAUUGUUAUUGUAUACGUGUAUAUAUUCCACUUACAUAAAGUCGCUUAUGGAAUAUGCGCGGAUAGACACUUUAUUUUUCACAACGUUAUUACUGAUGUUGAAUAAAUGUGUACAUAUGUCAAUAUAAACCUUUUGUAUACUUGUA